rnacentral:rRNA from 1 species
GGCGGGGUAACGGCCCACCAAGACGACGAUGGAUAGGGGUUCUGAGAGGAAGGUCCCCCACACUGGUACUGAGACACGGACCAGACUCAUACGGGAGGCAGCAGUGAGGAAUAUUGGUCAAUGGGAGAGAUCCUGAACCAGCCAAGCCGCGUGAGGGAAGACGGCCCUAUGGGUUGUAAACCUCUUUUGUCGGAGAACAAAACCCGGGACGAGUCCCGGACUGCGUGUAUCCGAAGAAAAAGCAUCGGCUAACUCCGUGCCAGCAGCCGCGGUAAUACGGAGGAUGCGAGCGUUAUCCGGAUUUAUUGGGUUUAAAGGGUGCGUAGGCGGUCCGUUAAGUCAGCGGUAAAAUUGCGGGGCUCAACCCCGUCGAGCCGUUGAAACUGGCAGACUUGAGUUGGCGAGAAGUACGCGGAAUGCGCGGUGUAGCGGUGAAAUGCAUAGAUAUCGCGCAGAACUCCGAUUGCGAAGGCAGCGUACCGGCGCCAGACUGACGCUGAGGCACGAAAGCGUGGGGAUCGAACAGGAUUAGAUACCCUGGUAGUCCACGCAGUAAACGAUGAAUGCUGGUUGUCCGGGUCGAAUGAGACCUGNGCGGCGAAGCGAAAGCGAUAAGCAUUCCACCUGGNGAGUACGC